rnacentral:scRNA from 1 species
GAGCAGCAAUUUCGGCAGCAGUCAAUGCCAAA